rnacentral:tRNA from 1 species
GCCCGAUUAGCUCAGUGGUAGAGCGCGUCACUCGUAAUGAUGAGGUCGGUUGUUCGAAUCAGCCAUCGGGCA